CUUGGCUGCGUAAGGACGCCUUUCGUCAUUAAAGACAUCAUUGACCAGUAUCAGAAAAGAUAUACGCAUAUGUACAUAUAUAAAUGUACGUACGUAUGUCGAUCGGUCGCGUACGCGUGUGAGGACUAGCCGAAUAGUGUGCCUGUGUGCGUGCGUGUGUGUGUAUGUGUGAGUGGGUGGAUUUGUUCUUUUAUUUUCAUUUCAUUUUUUAUUCGUUUUAAAAUUCUACAUUGUUGUUACGGGGAGAGGUUAAAUCCGCGUCAAGAGUUGUGUGUAGAUAACAAGGAUACCGGAGAUAAAUCACGCAAAACCGUCUCUCCCUCUCCCUCUCACUCUCAACCUAUCGCUCUCUAUCUUCCCCGCCCUCAGGGGAAAAUAAAUAAAUUUAAAAAAAAAAAAAAAAUCGCCAGCCCCCGAGCAUCGGGUUUCGUUAAUUUCUGGUUCGUUGUUUCGUUCCCCCUUCGCCCUCCCGCCGUCAUCAUCCUCCUCCCCCUCCUCCUCCUCCCAGCGACCAAAGAGUCACUGCCAGCAGCUGAGCGAGUGCACGUCGCGUUUCUGUAUGUCGCGCCGAGUGUCGUGUCGUCUCUGUGUGUCGUCGUUGUGCGAUCGCGCGUGCGACGAGGAGAAAUAUAACCUGAUGUGAGUGAAACGUUGGAUUUAAAAACCGCCUUUCAGUUUUUCCGGAAUACCCCAACCUGUUAGUUACAAGCGGCCACCGGUCGUUUUGUCCUUCGUCCGAUCGGAGCCGGAAAAAUCGUGAGAAUAGCGGAAGGUCGAUUCGUCGCUUUCUUUUCUUUUCAUUUCAUUUGUUUUCUAUCGGGUUCGAACCGAGGGUAUUACUUAUCGUACGUAAAGGCGAAACGGAAAUAGUUGCACGCUGCUUCGGGUUUGCGGGCGGAAAACUGAGGUGAAAAAGAAGAGAAAUAAGCGAGACAAGGGUAAACAAAGGAAUAGGAGGGUCACCGUUGUUCGCAAGAGCUGAUUGUAAUAACCGUGACACAUUGUGACGUGUGACGAGUGGAGAAGGUGAAGCAAAAGUUCGGGAUAAAAAAAAAAUUCAAACAAGUUUCGUUUUUAUUCCACGUGUAACGGUGCCGCCGAAAAAAGAAGAAUAAGAAAAAAGAAACAAACGAAACGAUACCUCGUCGAUGUCGAACAGGAAAAUCAGCGGUGGUUAAAACUUUGUGAUCUUUCGCUCUUCGUUUUUUUUUUCCAACGUCAAAGCGACCGUCCCGCGUACAACAGUGCAAUAACACAGCCGACAGGGAGAAAAAAAAAAAAAAAAAAAAUAGGCGGCAAUUGGUGAUAUGAAAAGAGGAUUAUUUUUCGGUGUGUAAGAAGCGUGGGUUUUAAAAAAAGUGACAGAAGAAACAACGAAAGGAUCCGAGAACUAAUAAUCAGCGUCAUAUGACAGCGGUGAGAGGAGUUUGGAAAAAAUUUUGUUUAAACGUCGAUUUUUGAUCCGAGAUAUUUGACGAAACCCGUGCUUGAAAAAAAAAAAAAAAGCGUUGCACCAAGGGCUGAUUAAGUUGUGUACAAUCGAACAUUCAAAGAAUGCGAAGAAACGACGCGCCAUAGAGGGUAAAACGUAUAAAUAGUGAGGUUAGCGAGUAACGAAGCCGAAAGCCGUAGGGAUCAGUUCGAAAACAAAACAAAAGAGCGUCGUCGUGCAUCGUCUCGGUGCGUUUGGAACAGCACAGCAGCGACGGAAGAGGGUGAAAGUGAAAAUCGUCGGUGAUACGGGACCGCCGCUUGCCGACGGAGAGACAGACAGACGGGCGGAAACCCGGUAACAGAAGUAGCAAAAGUAUACGAACAGGGGAAAAAACAAAAUCUGCGACCAAUCACCUCGAAGUCAGUCGGCUCUUCGCCUAGGGGGGCCUUAGGUGAAUUUUUGAUGGCAGUGGUGGGGCCGAGCCGGCACUCGCGGGUGUCCAUGAGCGUGUCGAUGUCGCUUAUGCAGGGGGGUGGGGCCGGGGCUACCGGCGGCGGCGGCGGAGGCGGCGGGACGACCGGGACUCAUCCGGGACAGGCGGUCCUAGCAGCGGCGGCGGCCGCCGCCGCCGUCGCCCAGGCCCCCCCGACUUAUUACCACCCCGCCGCCCCCGCACCACCCCCACCACCCCCUACCCAGGACCCAGUACAGCCGGACCGACCCAUUGGAUACGGGGCCUUCGGAGUCGUCUGGGCUGUCACAGAUCCCAGGGACGGUCGUCGAGUGGCGCUUAAAAAACUGCCGAACGUCUUUCAGAGCCUCGUCAGCAGUAAACGAGUGUUUCGAGAGUUGAAGAUGUUGUGCUUCUUCAAACACGAAAAUGUACUAUCUGCACUGGACAUACUUCAGCCACCGCAUCUAGACUUCUUCCAGGAAAUUUACGUGAUAACCGAGCUUCUCCAAAGUGACCUGCACAAGAUCAUCGUCAGCCCGCAGCAUCUCAGCGCAGAUCACAUAAAGGUCUUCCUGUAUCAAAUACUGAGAGGAUUAAAGUAUCUGCACUCGUCGAGAAUUCUGCAUCGUGAUAUUAAGCCGGGAAAUCUGCUGGUAAACAGCAAUUGCGUUUUGAAGAUCUGCGAUUUCGGCUUAGCCAGAGUCGAGGAACCUGACCAGAACAAACACAUGACUCAGGAGGUGGUCACGCAGUACUACAGAGCACCAGAAAUUCUUAUGGGUGCACGGCACUAUUCAGCAGCAGUUGACGUGUGGAGCGUUGGUUGUAUCUUCGGUGAGCUUCUCGGUAGGCGAAUUCUAUUCCAGGCGCAAAGUCCGGUACAACAGCUCGAACUAAUCACGGAACUGCUCGGCACUCCUUCGAUGGAAGACAUGAAGUACGCCUGCGAAGGAGCCAGAUCUCACAUGUUGAGACGAGCGCCGAAACCACCUUCUCUAACAGCUCUCUACACUCUCAGCAGUCAGGCUACGCACGAAGCUGUGCAUCUCUUGUGUCAGAUGUUGGUGUUUGAUCCGGACAAAAGGAUCACCGUCGUCGACGCUCUAGCUCAUCCUUAUCUCGACGAAGGACGACUGCGUUAUCAUUCCUGUAUGUGCACUUGCUGUUAUACCGCAAGUGCUGGAAUGCGACAGUAUACCGGCGAUUUCGAACCUGCCACUUCACACACCUUUGACGAUUUGUGGGAAAGAAAGUUGACCAGUGUGCAGCAGGUGAAAGAGGAAAUGCACAAAUUUAUCGCGGAACAGCUGAACACAACGCGCGUACCACUGUGUAUAAACCCACAGUCAGCGGCGUUCAAGAGUUUCGCAAGAAAAAGAAAGAAACACCGACACCUCGUCACGUAUUAUCCUGAGAAUCAAAAAUGAUCGAAGAUGAACGAAAUCCUGAAUAAUAAAAAUAUUCCAACCGUACUGAACCAAACUUUCCUUAAAAUAUCCAUACAAUGAUCAUUGUGAUUCGUCUGAUACUGAUCUUGAUCGUCUUGCUUACUGCCGUCAAGUUAGAGCAAGCCAUCUGCCAACCCAGCACCGUGCGCCGCGUAUACGUACACAUUACCACUACCGAAUCAACUAUCUACCACUGUCAGCUACCACUAUCGACUACUACUACUAUCAGCUACUACCAAUCGUUACGUCUUCUCCUGAACGAAAGAAAGAAUGACCGAGAAUCAUCUAUAAGUCGGCCCGACCUCGCUCGCAGAGCUCAACGGUGGCCCAUCCUUCGGAACUGCCACCCUCUCCACAUCAAUGGGAAUAAUGUUUUCCCUGGGUCCAAACACAUCCGGUUUUCUACAAAGGGCAUGACGACGAAUGGUCAAGAGAAUUGCAUUUGUCGCAUCCGGUGAAAGGAAAGAAGAGAUGAGAGAGGAAAUUGUGCAGAAGAAAACUAACCGAAUCCAGCCCGAGAAGAACGGAGACUAUCGAAGCAGUUGGGCCCUCAGAGCACUAAGAGAGACAAUAGACUGCUGAGCAAGUAGCCUCAAAUUCAAGUCUAGUUAAUAGACGAACGUAGCUAAAUAAUAGACAAAUAGUAAGAAUACAAAAUAGCAAAUAUUAGCAACAGAAAGAAGUGGAACACUGAAAUAGGCCAGUUUUUAGCUUGAUUCGUACAAAGACAGCUGGUAUUUAACUGAUCGCAGUUAUGAACACUACAGCGUUAAUUCCGUAUGAUAAUAAUAAUAAUAAUAACACUAAUAAUAACAAUAAUAGAAAUAAAAAUGACAGUUACAAUGACAACGUGUACCAUAAUAGGUAUAUACGCUGAACAUGAAAACUUUGUGAAGAUGAGUGCGUAUGUAGUAAAUUUAGUAGAAAACAGUUUUUUGGACGAGCAUGUAAAGAGCGUAAUAAGAGCAUAAUAUAGUUUCAAAGGUAUGAUCUUAUAUUAUUUCGUUUGCAUUAAAAUGACGCAAUUUAGUUUCAUUACUUUAAUCUUAAUAUAUAUAUAUAUAUAUAUAUUAUAUAUUACAUAUAUAUUAUAUAUAAUAUAUUAAUAUAAUAUACAUAUAUAUAUAUAUAUAUAUAAAUAUAUAUAAACGACUGAAAGUUGUAUCGUAUGACAAGAAGCUAGCUAUUCCGCUGAAUAUGCUGAUAUACGUCUGCUGUAAUCGUUUAUUCGAUUAACUACGCCGAUAUUGUUGUUAUGGUAUUAAUUCGUCUGAUAAAUCAAUGGUGAUAUAUAAUAAAGUAAACGAGUAUAGCUCAUGACGAAGAUGUAUCAUAUCUAAGCACGGCAUGUAUAUUACAUUAUUUAGUGAGUAACGUUGAAAGAUUAGUCCUGCAACUGCAAUUCCGGAAGUAAACAAAGGAGAAAACAAUAUUCCAAUAUUCGCAUGCCACUGCCGAAUAAUCUUUUCGCGACGUGAUCGAAAAUUCACGUCAAGAAUACAGAUAAUGGGGGAAAAAAAACACACACACACAAUUGCACUAUUAUACAUAUUUAUGUACAUACAUACACGACACGCUAUACUUAUUAUGUGAUAAAUAUCAUUGUGGCAAAUUGUUCAGAUACAUGGAAAUAAAGAAUAAAACGCCUUUGAAUUUAUCGUAGCAGCAUCGUCAACUGCAAAAUUUACCGCUUAAUCAAACAGAAAUACAAAGCUUCUCUGGAACGAUAAGUAACAAGUAUGACUUACGCAUUUUCAGUAAAAUAACACCGACGGACCGUUUUCCUUGCCAAAAUACGAUCGUGAAUAUUCUCGUUCUGUUUCUGUAAAUUUCGUACAAUGUUAUUACGCAUAUACAUACGUAUAUCGGAUUCUGAGUGUGAUUUAGAUUAAGAAGAGAAACAGUAGGGGUGCAGGAGUAGAUGAUACGUUGAUCUAUGACAAACGUCACACGUAUUUCAUUUUGUAAAAAAAUGUGUUCUCUUUUUUACACAAAACUAAAAAUAUGUUAUCUUCGACUAAGUAAUAAGUCCCUCCUUAUAUUAGUUUUGCGAUGCAGAGGAAUAACUUGUCCGUUAAAGAAGAAAAAAAAAAAAAAAAAAAAUUAAAAACUUUUUUAAAAAAAAAUCUAAAAAAAAAAAUUACACUGCGUAUCUUGGCGAGGGAUUGUCGUUUAUUUAAAACAAUGAAUGUCUAGCCAGAUUACUGGCGCAUCUGCAGGACGAUGCCCAAACUGGUUUAAAUAUAUACAUAUAGGUUCAUACACUCUAUUAUAUAAACUGGAUUAGGUAUAUAGUUUUAUUAAUUAGUAUAUUGUAAUUAGCGUAAAUUUUUCUUUAUUCAAUCAUUUCGUAAACUAUAUCACAGAAUCAUUUGUAAAUAAAUCACUCUUGCAUAACGUAUAUUUAAAACUCACAUUAAUCAUCGCAUUACGUGCACACGAUUUCGAAGGCCACUAAUGUUACAUCCUGUAUCAACAACUGAAAUUUAUAUUUGCAAGUUUGAGUUUUGCAAAAUUUAGAAAGUUUCAUUAAAUACAAAAUCGGUUAGAAUAUUAUCGAUGUACACACCUGUCGCUUCUAACUUGAAAUUCGUGCAACAUAUUGAUCGCGAAAUGUUAACGCUAACAUUACAAUAUCUAAAGACGUUCGUAUCGUGUCAGUUUGAUAGUAUAUUAUUAGAUACUCGAUAGGACGUAUGUACCAGUAUUUUCUUAAAAUUAACCUUUUAAUUAUGUGACCUUUAAAACUGUGUAAAGUGACGUUAUAACUAUGUGGGAACAAGUGUGUUGUUUAGUAUUACAUUAUCUGAUCAGGGUGAGUAAAUUGAUUUUGACAGUGGAUAUAUUCGGUGUGUAUAUUCAGAGAGAAGUCAGAGAUAUUGAACGAAUUGAUUUAGUCCAUCCUGCAUACAUUUAAUUCACUUUUGUUGUAUAAACAACUUCAGAAUUACCCGAAAGAUGAUCGGGUUAGUUUUCUCGGAUCGAAGAAAGAAAGAGUAAUGAUCGAUGAAUAAUAGUGAUAAAAAAUUUUUUUUAAUCUCAAUAAAAAAAAUUUCUCACAAUGUAUCUUAACAAAUACCUUAGGUAUAUUUUCAAUGCAUUAUUACAUAAUUGGCAAGUCUCAAAUAAUUUAUGUGUGUAUCUCCUACUUAUAUGUAAGAACCUAUAAUCUAAUUCAAACGAUUGUUUAUAUUUUUAAUCUUAUGUAUAUAAAUAUAUGAAAAGAACUCGAAAUAUUGCAAACGUAAAAGAUAACAUGAAAAAAAGCAUGGAAAUGCUUGAUAAAUUACGUAAAUAGAUAACAAAACAUUGACGCCAUGUCAUUUUCACAUGAGAGGCAAGUGAAAAGCAACAAAGUGAAGAAGGAAAACUUUGGAAACUUGCAACUGUAAAUAGAUUCAUUAGAAAAGUUCGUACACGUACGUGAAAAUACGAAGACGAUAGUAAUGAUUACACGGUUAAUACUUGAUGUACGAAUACAUUUUUUGUUUCUCUUUUUUAACGCUUUCGUUUCAAUUUAUUCCAAUCCAAAAUCAAGUAGCCCUCAUAAAUUUAUUGUCAAACAUCGGAAGCUUGAGUAAAUGCUUACGGAAAACUGAUAUAAAAAAAGAGGCUACAAACAUAGUGAAAGUAUUGAUAUUAAACAUACAUAAUAUCACAGGUAAUCUUACAUUUGAAAUUAUUGAUAACAAUUGAAAUUCGACUCUGUGCUAUGCACUCUACUUGAAUAAUUGUGUAACAACAGCCUGAUAAGUAGUGGUUGUAGUUAUUUUUUCUCGGACAGAAAAUAACGUAACGCGAAUAACGAAUAAAAAAACAGAAAAAUUUAUGACCCAUUCCUGCUACUAGAGCACUCGAUGAAUUGUAAAAGGUGACUUGAAACACGCCUCUGUAUUCGUUGUAAAUUUUGUACGUAGUUAGAUCGUCGUCGGGUGUCUUUUUAAACCCCAGAUUAAAGCUCUUUCAGACUGUAUGUGGUUGUUAGCACGUCAUGCUAUGUUAUUCGACUAGGUUGUAUCGGUCCAAUAAUGGAUAGAUAAAACUUGACUAGGUGCACACCUACAACCGUGUUGUGUGUUUCAUCUAUAUCGAAUAAACCAAUAUAAAUUAUUCAGAAAGAAGGAAGCAAGGAAAGAUUAAUGAGAAAAAAUAGAACCACUUUUAAACUACUGUUCUUGCUCUCGUGAGACGUAAAGUUACGAGGGUCAAAUGCCACAAUGUAUGAUAAUAAUAAUAAUAAUAAUAAUAGUAAUAACAAUAAUAACAAUAAUAAUAAGAAUCAUAAUAACAAUUAGUAGGUUUAUGUGUGUAUAUUAGGGUGUUUCAAAGUAAAAAAAAUUUCGAUUUUCCAACGGGCCACACCUGAAAUAGUUAGUUUAGGUAGAAACAAAAAUUCUGGCGAAAGAUGAGCAUUGUCGGUUGAGUGGAAGAUCGGAGACGUUUGAUUUUUAAUCUUUUUUUCCUUUUUAUCGAAUUUAUGAUGGACAAUUGUUAGUAAAAUUUUUUUUUCCUGUUUACAGCUGUCAGCGGAUCAGUUCGCGUCUUAAAUAAGAUGCUCCUGGAACUCUUUAGUUGAUAUUUAGUAGGGACGUCUAACGGGUUUUCUGAUUAUUGUUCAAUUAAAAUACAUGAAAAACAUUUUCUCACUCAGAUUUCAAUAUUUUAUUCAAUAUUCACACAUUUCCUAUUACAAUGGGUUCCUAUUAAAUAUCAACUAAAGAGUUCCAGGAGCAUCUUAUUUAAGACACAAGCUGAUCCGCCGGCAGCUGUAAACACGAAAAAAAUUUUUACUAACAAUUAUCCAUCAUAAAUUCGAUAAAAAGGAAAAAAUGAUUAAAAAUCAAAUGUGUCCGAUCUUCCACUCAGCCGACAAUGCUCAUCUGUCGCCAAAAUUUUUGUUUCUACCUAAACUAACUGUUUCAGGUUUGGCCCGUGGGAAAAUCGAAAAUUUUCUUAUUUUGAAACACCCUGGUGUAUAUACUUGUAUAGAUGCAUGUAUGUAUGACUUUACAUAUAUGCGUGUGUGUAUAUGCAUACACACAUGCAGACACGCAUUUAAACAUAUUAGUUUGAAAACUAUAUUAAGCCUUGAUGAACAGGCAAAGCUGUAACGCGACUGAGAAAACAUAAAAUUUGCAAAGCAGAUACCAGAUCCUAGUUGAACAAACGUGACUUAAGCAUGAAUAAGUUUUACAAAAUUGAUCUCUCUCUCCAUCAACCCCUUUUCAGGGUCAGAGCGGUAGCAGCAGAAAACAAGGCUUGACAUGGUUUUAUGGAAAAUAAAAAAACGAAAAAAAAAAGAAAAGAUAUGGAUCUUGUAACCCGCGGUGUAGUCGAUUAAUUAGGGACUAUGAAGAGUAAGGUUUAGAUUUAUUUCACAUGACUUUAAAUAUAAGAGAAAACGAGCACGGAAAUGGGACGAAAAAACGCAUAUAUAUGUAUAUAAAUAUUUAAGAAAAAUGCAGCCAGUAAGCGUCGUGACCCUGCCCUGCUAAUAGCCAGCAAGAGCUGCCCGAUACGAUAAUUUGAAAGUGCGAUUAGGAGCAUCGCUAUCUUUGUCUUAUACCUUAUACCUAUAUACCUAUAUGUAUGCACGUGUAUAGAUAUACAUAUAUUUUUAUGUUAUACGCGGUGGAAUUCAACGUAUUUUUCUUUCAUUUAUUACCCUGUUACCGCAUAUAUACAGUGCGGAAUACGUCGCACUCUUCAUUUUAUCCCUCAUAUUUCACAGAUCUCAUUACUAUUAAAGCUUAGAUCAUAGUCAAAGGAUACAUCUAUUAACGGGGAAACCAUUUUCGUCAAAGUUUAGGGACAUUUUUACGUAAACCACGUUGGAUUAUAAAGUUUACAGCUAUGCAUCUGUAAACAGGACAAAAUUUUUUUUAAACGCAUCUAGACAAUGAUAUGAAAUAAAUAAUGCACUUUCUUUUUUUUAUCACUAUCUAAGUUUCUUUUAUUUCAUUUCACUUUUCUAUACAUAUCUCUUUAUACCAUUUCACAUUUUCAACUUAUUCAUAUUUUUUCCUCCCCAAUAAAAAUUUGAUAAGACCUUCGACAAUUUAUGUAAAUAGUACGGGUUCUUUAUUCCGUUUAGUUUGCCAGUGACAAGAGUGUUGACAGAAAAACAAAAAAAAAAAAAAAAAAAAGAAUAGUACAAUCGCGCUAUGAGCCAAGUUUUACCAAAUAACGUUUUAUCGAAACCCGGAAUGAUCGGAUCCCGUAGAUGCAAGCUCAAUUUUUUAUGAGAGACCUCGUAUAAGACUUACGAUACGGGAAAUCAAGCAGAGGUCAGUUCCAUAGUUGAAAAUUUGUUGUGUAAUACAAUAUAACACUAAAACCAAGGUUUGUAAAUACGUACAAAGUUAGGCAGUGUCCGAUUAGCUAAACAUUUACACAUCCACACACAUUACACUGUAUAAUGCUGGUUGAUUGUUACUUCACAUUUGACGAACAUAGUAAGCAACAGAAAAACAAUGAAAAAAUAUACGCAAUAUUAUUUUUUUCGUAUUAAAAACUGGGUAAGUUAUGAAUUUACCACGAAACUAAGCAAUAUGCAGGCGAUUGUUACAUACAUAUAAUACAUCAUAAGGUACCUCACGCAAUGCAUACAUAUGUAAUGUAAAUGUAUUACAUGUGUGUGUGUGUAUGUUUAAAAUUGAGGGAAAGAAAAAAGCAACAAAUAUAUUCUACAAUAGCGAAUAUGCCUUGAAAUAUAGAAAGUGUCUGACACAAUAUGCCCUCAACGAUAAAGUUGCUACAGAAAUAUAAGAACUCACGAAUUUAACAUAGCUUUAUUUAUUUGCAAAAGUUCAAAUCUUCAUGGAUGUGCAAUUUCCUUUCUCAAGAUUUGCAACCGCCUUCGGAUUCGUUGCCAUAGUUUUCGUUUCAUUCGAACGUUCGCGCGCGGAAAAAAAAUCGAGUUGUUUACGCCUGUUAUAUUUUAAUCAGACAACACACAAUACGCUGUUGUUCUAAAAACGAUGCUAUUUUUUUUUUUUUAUCCAUUGACUAUGUGACGAGUGUGAUGCGGAAAUUUUUAAAAAUGACUAUUCCUCUUGUCGAAUGAAAUCGCAUCUGCGUCAGCGAGUGUAACCGCGAAAAUGCUCGGAAAUAUUCGAGUGUUGUGUGUUGCCUGUUUGCAAGUCAAUAGGCGGUUUUGUCAAAUUUAAUGCUGCGGAAUGCGUGGUGCGUUGAUUUUAGUUUGAAUUCUCGCUAACGUAAGAAAGCAGUCGAGAAGAGAAAAAAAAAAAAAACCAUCAAACAUCGAUGUUCGACUGGUAGAAAGGGAUUUUUGGCGAAAUGCAAUAAAUAUUUUUGUCACAAAUCACACCAUUCCUCAUAAAUCAUCGAUUCCGAGAUAAUAAUAAAACAGUAUACAUAAUUCGCUUAGUACUAGUGUUAAUUCCGAAAACUACAACACAACUUCGAUCUCGAAAUAAUUAAUAAAUCAACAAGACUUUAGUUUAUAUUGUAAUUUGCAUUUGCAUAUCCGUUAUCACAGUUAUUUGACUCCAGGUUUGUUUUUCUUCGCAGUUUAAUUUUCUUUUGAUACAAUUUAAUUACACUGAGACAUCUUCAACUAUGUAAUCAAAAUUAAAGUAUAUAGAUAUAUAAUUGAAGCAGCCUUGUUGUAGCUAGAUGCCGCAGACUUUUGACGUGUACAUAGUAAUAAAUAUAAUAAUGAUGAAUAAUGAUUAAGAGUAAGGUACAUUAGGUAUAUAGAAUGAGAUUGUUUUCAAAUCGUCACUGGUUAUUAUUAGGUGGUAAAAUGAAGCUCGAGACUCUACCGAGUCUCGUGAUAAUCACCGCGACUCGAUGAGUGUAAAAUAUUUCUUGGGAUAAACCAAUAAUAACACAAUAUGCCGAAGCCACAAUAUUGAGUCGGUCGUAUGCUCGUAUAAUAAUAAAAUAGAAACGCACGCAAGAGUAUCGUAUUGUUGUUGCUUAAAUAUCCGUAGGAAUUUAGCGGUCAAGGUAAAAAGUGAUGACCUGUCGUGUUAGUAACUAAGAGGCCUUAAUAUAUCAUCAUGUUUAUGAAUAUACGUUAAUAAUUAUUAACUGUAAUUAAAUCGUAAAUUGAUGAUUAGUAUAUAGUUACGUUGAAACUGUAUUGUAGGUAUAAGAUUGAUUAUUACGGAGUUGCAUUAUUAAAAACCACACAUGCCUGUCUGUGGAUUCGUUCGUCCGACGUUCGGAGUAUAUUUUAAUCGUGACAGAAUCAAUUUACAUCCAGAAUCAAAACGCUUCGCAGUAUUCAGCGAUUAGAAAUUUCAAUGAAUGAUAUGCAGUCGUCUUUUUCAAAAAUAGAAUAAAAUAGAAUUUCAAAACUGCGGUGACACUUCGACCGAGGCUCUUAAUUAGCACUGCCACCGUCGUAACGGUUUUAUACAUAAAUUCCCGCCAGUCCGAAUGCAUAGUCAUAAUUACGUAAAACUACACAAUUUCACUAAGUCUAUAACUGGCGCACUGCACCCUGAUAUUUACACAGUAUUCGCUGGCACGUAAAAUAUUCGGAAGAUCGGGGAAAACCGAGAUUUGAAAAUAUUCUGUAAAUGUGGUUGGUAUUUAUUUUCAUGGUAUGCGAUAUUUGAAUGCAGAGAAAUUAAAAUAAAAUAAAAUAAUUACACUGCAGGGAUAAAUCUUAGAUUAGUGUCGACGUUUUGUUUUUUUUUUUUUUUUUUGUGUUCUUUGUUUUAUACUAGUUCCUUGCAACAUCCUUUUCGCUUCGAGGUUUCCAAAUUAUUGGAAGAUGAUUUGAUGAAAAAAAAAAUAAAAAUAAAAUAACAUACAAUGUACAGAAAUCCACAGAACUUGUGCAUGCAGGGUAAACAGGCCUACUACCUGUUACCGUUUUAAAAUGGUGCACCCUGACUGUAAAUAUUACAUACUUAACACCUAUUACACAUAGAAUUAAUUCGCGUACCUUGAAAGUAGUUGUAAAAUUUCGGAUAUAGAAUUUGCAGUUGAUAUAUGUAAGUAUAGUAAACAUAUACUAAUUACGUAUACAGAAACGAGAUCUUUACAUGCGUUGUAAAUUUUGUAAUUGUACUUUAAAAAUUAUAAUUAUAGGAUGAUACUUUAGUGAGCGAGUGUUCACGCGAUGCUUUUCGUCUCUUCAAUAUGCGAAACGUAGAUAUAUUGUAACGAAUAACGUUUAAUGUAAAUUCAAGUAAUCAGGUUCACGUAUUAAGAGCUGUACGAGUUGAAUUACAAAUUAUUCAUUAGUAGGUUGAAACUAUGUGUUCCUUUAAGUAUCUUUGUAUUUAUCUAUAUCUAUAGUUCAUUCUCUCGAGGUUGAAAAAAAAAAAAAAAAAAAACAAAAAAAAAUAAUAUCGAAGCCAACUAUAUACCUGUAAUAACA